CUUUUUUGGCAGUGCACAGCCAGAGAACAACACAUCACACACAAGAAACAGUUGUGCUCAUGUGAUGGGGGCCUCAGCACUAGGAAGGAGUGGACUGUUGGCGCACGCAGCAGCUUGAAUAAAUCUGAAAGUCACUACGCUGCGUAAGAGAAGCCAAAUAAAGCGCAUGCUGUGUACAGAGGGUGUCGAGAAUGUGUCCUACGUGACGGAAAGCAGAUCCGUGGUUCCCUGCAGACUGGCAGGAGCAGAUUCCAAAGGCACAGGAAGAAGCUUGCAGUACAAAGAUAAAAAUCUAAAGUGGUUGCUGUGGAGGACAGGGGUCAGUGGUGGAAGUGAGACCGAAAUAGACUCUGAAGUAAUAUCUGGACUUUGAAAUUGUUUCCUUAACGACAACAAAAAAGGGAGUAAUCCUACCUACUGUAAGAGUCAUGACUCUUGAUUGCAGCUGACAGAAACUCAUGACAGCCUGGUUUAGAUAAAGGGGGAGAGAAGGACUGGAAGAAUCUUGGAGUUGGGAAUGUCGCACGUAAUUGAAGGAAGAACAAGAAAACUAUAGCAGCUAUUCCCAACCCCAGAACCUUUGCUGUCUUGGAACAGAUCACCACUGCAAGAGGGGAAGUUGCUACUGUGAUGAAUUCUGCCAUGUGGUACCAGACUGCUACCCAGACCACAGUGUCCUCUGCAACCCUCGUAACUCACAUACAGGCCUGAUUCCACCUACAGCAAAGCUGGAUGCUAUGGUUGGCAGAGGCAAACCCUUUGCCUGCACUUCAGGCCAAAGCCGGGAUGUGGCCUAGAUGGUUCCUAAGGUCCCUGACAAUCCUGAGAUCUUGCAUCUUGUCUAUUUCAGGUCAAAGCUUCUCAGAUGACCAAGAUGGUGCUGCAGAUGGUGCUGAGGAUGGAGAACCCACCAAGCCC
rnacentral:lncRNA from 1 species